UCGUUUUAUGACUUGAAACGAAAAAUAAAAUCAUAAAAAUGGACUGUCCUCAGUUGGAGGUCAGAAGGGUCAAGUGUAUGGGAAGUGCGUGACCGUCCGUAAAUUUCCAUUUUUUGCCUGUUUUUUGGUCACACUCCAGUGGUCUCGAUUGGCGGUGUUACGCGCAUCAUCAACUGAACAUUGCCAUGAUGUGAAUACUGUUGAUACUGAUGAUGUGGAUGAUGAUGAUGUGGAUGAUGAUAAUGUGGAUGCCUCCGGACUGAAAUAGCUGGACAGUGUCAUGAUGUGAAUACUGUUGAUACUGAUGAUGUGGAUGCUGAUGAUGUGGAUGUUGAUAAUGUUGAUGCCUCCGUUGAUCAACCAGGGUCUGAAAUAGGUCAACUCGAAGCAGUCGUAAAUGCUGGGAUUGGCACAAACCAUGUAAGAAUCAUAUUGAAAUUUGUGACAAUUAGAAAUUUUUAUUCUUAAAGCAAAUUUGAUUUAAAAAGUGUUGUUUCUGUAAAGGAGUAAGUGCACUUUUGUGAUCAGGCUUUUCUGUUGUCUUCCUUAGUGUACAAUUAAUUUUGUGUAACAACCAUACUUGUAAUCUUAAAAAAAACCUAUUCAGUGUUUAAAUUAGCCAGAAUGUGUGUCAUGUUACUGAUCAGUGUAAAAAAUUACAGUGAAAAUACAGUGAUUUCUAGCUCAAGAUUGAAUAUGGGUCAUCUGGGUUCAAAAACUAGGUCACAGAGCCCAAAUAUGGAAAUACCUUGUUAACACUCUAGUAGUAAUAUGUUCAUUCCAAAUAUCCUGGAAGGUUGUUUUGAUGAUUUCUAGCUCAAGUUUGAAUAUGGGUGAUUUGGGGUCAAAAACAAGGUCACAGAGCCCAAAUAUGGAAAAACCUUGUUAACACUCUAGAGGUAACAUUUUCAGCCCAAAUAUCCUAAAAAUUUGUCAGAAAGGUUGUUUUGAUAAUUUUGAAGUGAAGUUCGAAUAUGGGUCAUCUGUU